CAGUAGCCGCGGUAAUACGAAGGUCCCGAGCGUUGUUCGGAAUCACUGGGCGUAAAGGGAGCGUAGGCGGCGUGGUAAGUCAGAUGUGAAAUCCCGGGGCUCAACCCCGGAACUGCAUCCGAUACUGCCAUGCUAGAGGAUUGGAGAGGUAGCUGGAAUUAUUGGUGUAGCAGUGAAAUGCGUGGAGAUCAAGAGGAACACUCGUGGCGAAAGCGAGCUACUGGACAAUAACUGACGCUGAGGCUCGAAGGCCAGGGUAGCGAAAGGGAUUAGAUACCCCAGUAGUCCCUGUCUCUUAUAC
rnacentral:rRNA from 1 species